GUGGACUGACGCUGGCGCGUUUGUUGAAAACAGAGGGCAGACGUUGUUGACAUGACACUGGCAGACAACAACUAAUUGAACUGACGACCCUCGGUUGUUGAUAAAGCCUUUUACCGGAUUUUUACACUGGGAGACGCAAUACAUUGAACAUGGAGUUAUCUCCCCUUAUAAAGAAAAUAGGCCACUCGUUGAUGGAGAUAAGAGUUCGAGCACUGAAGAGCAUCAUAUGUAAGCUGGACCAUUCCCUGAUUUCCGUCUCCGACAUUGUCCAAGAAAAGAUGCUGUUUGUGUAUCUUCUUGAAUGGUUCAAUUUCCCCGAGGUGCCAAUGCAGGAAGAGGUCCUCGAGUUGCUCUCAACUUUAUCAAAGCAUCCAAGUGCAGCCCAGAUGCUAAGAGAUGUUGGGGCGGUGGACUUCCUCAGUCAACUGUCUACUAAUGUGGAACCCAGACUGCGAGCUGUCAUCGAUGGGACCCUGGACCAGCUGUUCCAUCUACCUGAGCUACUCCCUAGUCAUAUGGUUUACUCGCAUGGACAGCGUACAGCAACUCCAACAGCACCUACAGUUGUUCCACUGGAAGAGCAUUUUUCUCAAAUGGGUUAUUUCCACAAGAGCAUGCCAAGCCAAACAGAUGUGCCACCUCAGAAGAUAGCAGUGCAUGAGUCUGUGAGAUGUCUCAAGUUUUCUGCGUUUCCAUGGCUGUCUUUGACAAACACAGACAGACACAUACUUUCAUCCAAUGAGAGUUCUCUAAGGAGCAGCAACCCCAACUUGGUGCGGAGCACGUGUGAACUUCUGUGUGAUGUCAUUAUGCAAGACUUUCCUGCUGAGAUCUUCCUGCAAAGGCCUAGUAUUGUAAAGAACCUUCUGUCCCUGUUGAGGCUGGGUUUGGGUAAAGGUGAGGCAAGCUACCUCCACUUGCAGGCUCUUUCAUGCCUGCGGCAGCUUUGUGUGGGGCUGAGAAGGAGACUACGAUUUCAUCAAGAUCCAAGCUUCUACUCUACAAAGCAAGAUCCAGUGUCCCAGAACUCGUCCUUUUCCUACUCCCGGGAAGUGCGGGGGACCCACCGUUCCCAGGCCUCAUCUCCGGGGACAGAGUGCUCUCCUCGGCCCUCUGUGGUGGGACGCACAGGCCAGAGAGCUAGGGGAGAUGGCCAAGACGGGGAUGCAGCUUCCACCAGUGGCAGCUCACACAGAGGGGGAGCAGCCAUCCAGGCUCCUGGGCAGACGCCCCAGUCUCCUGCAGAUGUGGCCAACCUGGAGCUUCCUGACUUGGGUGUAGAAGAUGUCUUGGAACUGCAGUUUCAGCAGCUCACUUUGGCUCAGUUCACUGUUGCCAUCAUGGAACAUGCCAUACCACUGCUUAAAACAGAGGGUUUGCAUGUGUUCCAUUGUGUUCUGGAGCUGCUGUGCGACGCUGUCCUCCUGCUUGGGAAGAGUGUUUGUGAGCUGGUCUGGGACGAUCGCAGCCUGGUGGGGAUGGAGCUGAAGGCAAAGCUGCAAGUCUGCAUGGAACUACUGGGGCACAUCCUGAGCUAUCAUCAGAGCUAUUCAGCAGAUACUCCCCACAGCUCUCAGGUUCAUCACAGAAUGGCCUACACCGGCACUGCUAUAUUCACCAUUAAACUCCUGCAGACCAUCCUCCCUCCUGAGAAGGCUAGUGAUAAUCUCCCGGAGAACACAGCAACAGCUAUUUUCCACCUGUGCUUGGACAUGACAUUGGGAAGUUCAUUACCCAGCAUUCAAGAGACAGCGGUGGCCUACUUGGAGCAGGUGAACUCAGACAACCAUGAUCUUUACAGGAGGGUGACCCGCGCUGCCCUCUGGAUGGAAUCUACUUGCAACUUCCUCAAGGAAAGCCAAGCUGAGGGAGAGAAGAACUGGUUGGAGUUGCUUGAGCUGGCAGACCAAGCCAUAGACGGCAUACCGUUUCACCAGCACUUACCCAUCAUCAAGGAAUAUGUUCACAUCUGCUCUUACCUGUGGAAGUUUGAUCAGCCCAGUCCCCUCCUCCAGACAGAGAGCCAGAAACUUCUCCUCAAGCUGCUGUCUCAUCCUUCAUCGCAUGUCAAGACGGAAACAUACGAAUGCACUUUAAACCUGGUCAAGGACUGCCUUGGCAUCCAGAAUGUGUCACGACAGGAACCAGCAACAUGCGGUGCAGUCAACUUCCUUAUCCACCACAGGGUGCUCUAUGAAAUAAGUGCUUUUGGACUUCAGGAUUCUGCUGAGAAGGUGAACGUUGCAGCCAAGGAUAUCCUGCUAUUCCUGCUCAAAGGACGAUUGAUGAUGACAGCAGCAACCUGGGACAGAUUCAAUGAGGCACUUUACCCCGUCAUGCCCAUAUUACAGGGUUACGCCAGCACUGAAGAGUCACUGGGAAACUGUGUCCUGCUGAUAAGUGACAUGUCGGACGUGGCAAGAGACAGCGUGUUUCCAAGCACAGCCCAGCUCAAAGCAGCGCUCCGACUCCUUUUUACUAAACAGCCCACUGUGAGAAUAGCAGCAGUGCAACAAAUCCUGCCCCACUUAACCAGCGAUGAUGUUGCUGACACAUCCAGACCAGACCUGGCUCAACCACUGAUUUCCUCCAUCCCCAGUCUCUUUUGCCUCAGAAACCCUUUGGACAUCACGCUGGACACCAGAAACAAGUCUGUCCUUAAGGUGGAGUCGGUGGAGAAGCUGUUUUGUAUUCUGUCCUCAGACACUGUUGACAUCUCACUAAGAAGAUCGGCUGCAGAGCAGCUGUCUGUAGUGCUACAAGACACAACAAUGCACCCAGUGCUGAAGGUUCUUGGAAUAACAGACAAAGUCAUUUCUUUCAUUAUGGGGAGUGUAAACGGCAACAAGAGCUUAGAUUGCCUGCUGGAGCCUUGUGUAUGUAUCCUGAGGAAGCUGGUGUAUGCUGAUCCAUCUCUGAGGCACAGUCUGGCACAUCGCAACCUCCUGCUCCUCACACUGCUCAGGGCAUCCUUGAUAUUAAAGGAGAACAAAGGCAACGGAAAUGAGGUUGCUGUUUUAAUGACUUUACUGCUAUUUGAUGAUAUUGCCAAUAUUGAAAAAUGGUCAGACAAAUCCAACACAGAUGCAACCCUUGCACCGUUUUCCCUACCACUGUCAGUGAUACGCAGGUACAACAUUCCAUUCCAGGCAGCGACUCAUCACGCUGUCAGCCCGUACUGCUGCGUCCUGCCUCCCUCCUCGGACAUCCUGACCCUGGCACCCGCCUGCCAAGCCCUGCAGGUAGCCUGGAACACUGCAUGGUAUUCUGGGAUAGACAACCUUCUUGACGAGCUGUGUGGCACAUCUACCCAUGUUACUGAAUUUCAUCCCAACUUAAAGCUGUCAGAAGCACAGGUUCUGUCGCUGCAGGCGGUGCACCUUCCCACCGCACUGCAGGACUGCAUCAAGACCAUUGUCACGGCAGCAGGACACAGCUCGGUGACCUCUGCCCUCUCCAGGCUCAGCCUCUAUUUACUGAUUGAGCGACUGGCCCUUCCUCACAUCCCCGCCCACAGCUGCAGAGACACCCUUUGCUCCCUCAGCUGGCAGGCUGCAGUGACAAGGUUUCUCCAGGUGCGUCCAGCCUGUGUUGAGGAUGACAGGUUGCUGGUGGGAAUUGUUGCAUUUUUGAAUGCCUACUUCAAACAGAUGCACAAUGAGACUGCAUCUGACCCAGAGGACAAGGACCUGUGCUGGAUACUGGAGCUACUUCUCAACCAGGAGAGCCCAUCGCUUCUUAAUUUGCUGCUUGGUGUGGAGACUCAGACCUCAACUCCGAACCCCGGGGAGCCGGAGGAAUUGAUGAACCGCUUCAGCCGGAGACUGCAGAAAGAACUCACCAGCUUCUUUAACAUCUUACUCUUUCGACUUGCACAAACCACUGACAGGCUAUGUCUGGCAUUAGCAGGCCCAUUCAAAAGCCAGCUGGCAGUCCGUUUGCUUCAGAGUCUGCGGGUGUCCGACGCCCCGCGUUUCUAUGGCCUUCCUAGCCUGGAGAGGACACUGCAAGGCAUGGUCAGCCUGACUGCCCAGCCUGGCUGGAGCUCCCACUGCUCUGACCUGGAACCCAUCUUGCUCUGCUCCAAGUAUCUCAGUGGCCUAUUAGAGGUGAUCUCCUCAUUUUAUGUCGAGUUGGGAGGCAAUUCCAUGUCUUUCAUGGGAAAAGGUGUGACCAAGAAUGCUGUCGUCUGCUUGCUUCACCUGUCCCAUGAGAUGAUGGUCAAGAACAAGGACAAGGACUUCAUAUCCCAGUGGUCUUUGGGAAAUGAGGCAGCUGCUGAGGAGGCUAGUGGCUCUCAGCUUGGUUUGGCCUGGCUCAUCCCACUAUGGGUCGACCGCGACCAAGAGGUCAGAUUUGCCAGUUUGGGUUUAGGUGCAGCUCUGUCCUCGGUGCCCAGCGGGUGCCAAGCUCUGUGUGCAAGCUGUCAGAACAUCAGCGGAGGUCUGUGGGGCACGUUGCUCAACAUCCUCCUGGAUCAGCAGGAGAGCAGCAUGGUCCGCAGAGAGGCUGCAUUCAUCCUGCAAAACCUGCUGGUGAUGCCCAUGCCUGCCAACGUAGAGGAGGCCAAGGACUCCCACUGGCAGCACCCAUGUGUCCAUGAUGAGGUGUCUGGUGUGUCUCUGGUGGGUCUUCCAGCGCUCCAGGCUCUGCUUUACCACUGUCAGUAUUUCCAACAUGUGGCUCUCUCUGCCACCAAGUGUUACCGAGGCAGGUACACUUUCCACCCGCAACCUGGUGCUGCCGCGACCAGUGGACCUCGUCCCCAUGAGAGCAAUUCUCUUGAUUCUGAGAAUUCGCUGUGGUUUUGGAGAUGCGACCCACCAGCGCCUACUGUAGACUCUAGCAGACCUUCCAGCUCCCUCUCCACAUCAAGCACUGUGAUUAGAGGCUCAGGGCCUAACACCCCCAAAGAUCCCUCCCCGUUGAGCAUCACAGAAGAUACCCCUGCCAGCAGACUGAUGGCUCAAGGCCAGAGUGAUACAGACACCAUCGACUCACUGGCCUCCCAAGACUCCCGCCAGGGCGAGCCCUCAGCCGUGGAUCCCGUUGUCAUGGUAACUCCCGACCUCAUGACGGCCCACUGUGGCCUGCUGACUAACCUGCUGGCCAUCCUGCCAGACUUCACCCUCACUGCCGUCCGACACAACCAGCUCCUCCAAGCACUGGCCAGUCUGGUGGAUAUUGGGCCCAUCGAGACAUGUCUGAUUGAGUUGAAGACACCCAAUGUCCUACCAGGAGAGAGAGGAGACAUCAAGAUCCAGUUUGUCACCCUACUUCAGUUCCUGUCCAGCUUCUCCAAACUGCUGCUGUCAUGUGUCACGGUGAGCCAAGAGCUUAUUGGCCAGAUGGACUUCCUGAAACAGCUGUUGACUGCUCUGGUGGCAGUGCUCACACUGGAUACCAAAGGAUUAGAUGCAGGUACCCGAGAUACGGUUUGUGUGUGCUGGGCAGACGUGUUUAUGCUCCUGGCUACUCUGGUGAGGAGGGACAGCUCGGCAGCGUACCCAUCUGUUUCUGCUGCACUGGGGAGACGCUGGCGGAUAUUUGCAGGAACAUUAUCCGUGUGUGUGAAUGAGAAGCUUGCAGACCCUCAUCUCCACACAGUGGCUCUGCAGUUUCUCCGUACAGUUUUCACAGAGCAGACAAAGAGUGUAGAUGUCACAACCUCAAACCCUAAACAGGCUACUGCUUUGUCUGACAUUGUGAAUGGUCCCUCAGCCAGCCAGCUGUGUGAACUGUUACUGCAGAGUUUUGAAAAGCGGUCCCUUCAGGACCCAUUGAAGAAGCAGACAGCCAGAGCUCUGAUGACACUACUGGCCUGCAGUCCCACAGCUCAAAACUACGCAGCCAAAGCUGGUCUAAUUGACAGCUGUGUGGAGCAAAUGAAGCAAACUCACUCCCAGCUCCACCUGGAGUCCGUCCGACCCGGCAAGGCUUCCCACCGCAAAAAGGGAGAAGGGUAUUUAAAGGAAAUAAAGCUGACUGUGGAGAUCCUGCGGAGUGCUCUUUACCACAACGAUGAAUGCAAAGUGAUUGCCACAGAUGCUCGCCUAACACUGGCACUCUAUGCUCUUUGGCCUUGGCUCCUAUUGGAUGACCCCAUCAUGGAGGCGGUGCUGGAGCUUCUAUGUGUCUAUACGGCCAACUGCACCACAGCAUGCAGUUGUGUUUGUGGCGGUGGCCCCGGUGUUGCACUAGGAUCCAAAGGCCCCCCUAGUAACUCUUUGAUGCACUCUGUGAUGAAGCUGGCCUCAGGGGUUGCAGCAGAUAACAGCCCUGUCCAGAAGCUAGCCUUCUGUCUCUUGGCUAACCUCGCCAUGUCCCGCGACUGCAGAGGCCUCUUGCAAAAGAAUAAUUUCCUGCAAGCCUUCCUGUCAGUGCCAACGCCCAAGGCAGUUGGUGUUAAGACCACAUUCAUAGGUUGUGGUGGCGGAAGCCUACUGGGCCUGUGGCUGAGGCUGCUGGUUAGUCUCUCGUUCGCGGAGGACGGCCAACAGAGUAUCCUUAGAGUGACUGGAGCCCUGGAACUGCUGGCGGACUUGGCACCACACCGGCGCCACGCACUGCUCACCCUUCACAACCUGUGCUUCUGCCCUGCCAACAAGCCUCACGUCGUUGCCAAUGACAAAGCCAUGAAGGUGUUACUAAGUUGUCUGACCAGUAAAGAGAUUGAAACCCGCUCUAUGGGAGCAUCUGCAUUAUGGGCAUUGCUCCAUAACAAUCAGAGGGUACACACACACACAAACACACACACACACACACUAAACCUUUAUUGUAGUGACGCUGAAUUUCACUAUUACAGUACUACAGUAUUGGAGUUUAUUAGUGAUAUAUGUCAAAUUAAAUCCAUGUGGUGUCUUCACUCUGACUGUCCCUAUAAAUAAAUCGUCUGGAAAGCUUCAAUGUCCUAUCACAUACAAAAGAUAUGACAAACCUUUUUUAUCUCCUGAUAAUGAACCAAAAAAAAGAACUCAUCUCAACUCUUCCUAAUCUGUCUUUCUAAUUUCCCCUCAAAGGCUAAGACUACUUUGAAGUGUCCCUCUGUUCGAUUGAGAAUUGAGGAGGCACGUACCAUCUCUAAGAAGGAUGCAGAGAACAAGCAGGAUCCAAUGACUGCCUACCUGUUGCAGUGCCUUGAAAACCUUUCCCAGCUGCUAAAUAACUGAUUGUAUU